rnacentral:tRNA from 1 species
GGACUUAUAGCUCAGUUGGUAGAGCGUUGCAUUCACAUUGCAAAGGCCCUUGGUUCGAACCCAAGUAAGUCCA